rnacentral:rRNA from 1 species
CCUGGCGGAGGUUACUGCUAUCGGUGUUCGUCUAAGCCAUGCGAGUCAUAUGUUCUUUGUGAACAUGGCGUACUGCUCAGUAACACGUGGAUAACCUGCCCUUGGGUCCGGCAUAACCCCGGGAAACUGGGGAUAAUACCGGAUAACGCAUAUAUGCUGGAAUUCUUUAUGCGUGAAAUGGAUUCGUCUGCCCAAGGAUGGGUCUGCGGCCUAUCAGGUAGUAGUGGGUGUAAUGUACCUACUAGCCGACGACGGGUACGGGUUGUGAGAGCAAGAGCCCGGAGAUGGAUUCUGAGACAUGAAUCCAGGCCCUAUGGGGCGCAGCAGGCGCGAAAACUUUACAAUGCGGGAAACCGUGAUAAGGGGACACCGAGUGCCAGCAUCAUAUGCUGGCUGUCCGGGUGUGUAAAAUACACCUGUUAGCAAGGGCCGGGCAAGACCGGUGCCAGCCGCCGCGGUAACACCGGCGGCCCGAGUGGUGAUCGUGAUUAUUGGGUCUAAAGGGUCCGUAGCCGGUUUGGUCAGUCCUCCGGGAAAUCUGACGGCUUAACCGUUAGGCUUUCGGGGGAUACUGCCAGACUUGGAACCGGGAGAGGUAAGAGGUACUACAGGGGUAGGAGUGAAAUCUUGUAAUCCCUGUGGGACCACCUGUGGCGAAGGCGUCUUACCAGAACGGGUUCGACGGUGAGGGACGAAAGCUGGGGGCACGAACCGGAUUAGAUACCCGGGUAGUCCCAGCCGUAAACGAUGCUCGCUAGGUGUCAGGCAUGGCGCGACCGUGUCUGGUGCCGCAGGGAAGCCGUGAAGCGAGCCACCUGGGAAGUACGGCCGCAAGGCUGAAACUUAAAGGAAUUGGCGGGGGAGCACAACAACGGGUGGAGCCUGCGGUUUAAUUGGACUCAACGCCGGACAACUCACCGGGGGCGACAGCAAUAUGUAGGUCAGGCUGAAGACCUUGCCUGAAUCGCUGAGAGGAGGUGCAUGGCCGUCGCCAGUUCGUACUGUGAAGCAUCCUGUUAAGUCAGGCAACGAGCGAGACCCA